rnacentral:rRNA from 1 species
GACGGAGGGUGCUAGCGUUGUUCGGAAUUACUGGGCGUAAAGGGCGCGUAGGCGGCCCUGUCAGUCGGGUGUGAAAGCCCGGGGCUCAACCCCGGAACGGCACCCGAGACGGCAGGGCUGGAGACCGGGAGAGGAGGGUGGAAUAGCCAGUGUAGAGGUGAAAUUCGUAGAUAUUGGCUGGAACACCGGUGGCGAAAGCGGCUCUCUGGCCCGGUUCUGACGCUGAGGUGCGAAAGCGUGGGGAGCAAACAGG